rnacentral:rRNA from 1 species
GUGACCUCAAAUCAGGUAGGACUACCCGCUGAACUUAAGCA